AAUCGAAUCACGGGCGAGCUCGACGGUCGGUGCAGGCAGCUGCACCCAGUCCGGCUCCGGCCCGUGCCCGUCACGACUCACGCGAGACAGCGAAACUUUUCCCAGCGGCGAAGCGGAGAUCGGAGAAGGAACCCCACCCUGCCCAGUGAGAUCUUCUCCUAGCAGCCGCAAUCUCUCCUCCCUCGGCGCGGAGGACGAGCAGCGCUGUAGAUUCGAUCGUGUGUGCUCCCGAGAUGGCGAUCGGGUCGGACUAAGCCGAAGCGAAAGCGAGAGCCGCUGCCCCCGUCGUCACUCGAUGACCAGGCGGACGGGUGGGUGCGCCGGCGGCUUCCUGCUGCCGUUGCUGCUCCUGGCAGUUGCUGCACGUUCAUGGUGCCAAUCCCUCUCUACACAUACACAAGGAAUGAAAGAAGGCUGUUGGGCCGCCGCCGCCGAGAGGUCAGAGAGCAGCCACCGGAAGCACCACCGGAAUCAAGGGAGAGAGAGGGCAACUGCCGGAAUCAAGCAGAGAGAGGGCACAGGGUAGCCGCUGGUAGAAUAGAAUAGGGAGAGGGCAGCAGCAGUAUUUAACUAAACCCCUAACAGUAAUGGCCAAAUGGGCCUUAUUACCGGUCAUCCAGCCCACAUCCAAAUCAAGCCUUAAAAAGAAACUAGUCGCCCCACCCUAAUUGGGUGACUAAUCACGCUUAGUCGACGACUAGUCGGACGACCAAAUGAUUAGUCGACCUGAUCGGGUCAGACUUCCUAAUCGCGCCAACAGAACCCACUUGACCGACUAAUCGUGAUUAGUCGGAUGACUUGAAAUCAUUGCUCUAAAUAAUAUAAGUUGCCUUAUGGAACAACCGAGGACAUAAGAGUAGACAAGAAAAAGAGGGGGUGUGGUGGGGUGUGUGGGGAGGACCCUGCUUUGCCUCCAGGAGGCUCUGCCAUUGCUUCUACUUGCAUUAGGAAAUCUAACAUUACUUUAUCAAACUACAAUCACAAUUUGAUGUGUCCUAGAUCACCAUUUGUGUAAACCCAUAAAAUUUAGUACAUGUUGAUACAUGACUCUACUAUCGAGAUUUGAUCAUGGUUGGUUAUGACAUGGAUGAUCUAAUUUACUUCAUUGACCUCUACGAAUUAGACCCUGUUUGAAACAACUCCAGCUCCAAGAAAUUUGGUGGAGUUGGUGGAGCAGGUCAUUAGGUGCUCUAGAAAAUCGUGGAGCUGGAGUUGUAAGUCUUUAGAAGACAUUUAGAUAAGUCAUUUUGUUUAUUAUUUUGAUUAAAAAUAUUUUUUAAAACUAUUUAAAUUGAUAUUAUAAACUACAGCUCCACACUGGAGCCGGAAUCUGAAGCCAUCCCAAACACCUCCUUAGUUUCUACCAUCCUUUACUUACUUGUGAUAUAGUUUGUCCGUUGCUCAAUUGAAUCUGCAUGCAUGAGUGUGCAAAUGGUUGAUCAAUCUGUCUGAAAGCUCCUAUAUGAGGACAUGUCUGCCUUUAACGAUAUAUAGAAGUAUAGAACACCUUGUACAGGGGCAGCUACCUUUUGUCCACUUCUUAUUGUGCCCAUAUGUGUUAUGCACUUAUGCUUAUGUCUGAAACAUGUUUCAGCAAAGAGAAUAUGGAGCUUUUUUUAGGUUACAGGCUCUGAAGAAUGUGAUGCCUGAUGGUAAGAAAAGGGAACAUGGUAGGAAGUGGUUAGUAUGUUUAAAGGUUACAGGCUCUGAGGCUCUGAAGAAUGUGAUGCCUGAUGCUUCUUUACUUGAUUGGAGCUUGGUUUCUCUUAUUAAUAUGGUCAUCUUCUUUGCUAUUCGAUUUGCUGUUCCAAGAAGAGGUCUUUACACCUGGAGGCUGCACAUUGUAUUGUGGUGUACAAUUAUUUACUCAGUCCUUGCUAUUUUAGCACAAGUUGCGUUUCAUAUAAUCUGGUACAUUGAGGGCAAGGGAUGGUCUGUGGCUCAUUCUUGGUGGGCGAAGCUGGUGGGUUUAGCAAGGGACCAGCCAUGGGAAUCACCAUCAGUUAUCUAUUUUCUUGCAUUACAGCUAUCUGCUGCAGGCCUUGCUUUGGUCGAAGUCCUUGGAGGAAGGCUUCAAGAUUCUUGCUGGUUGAACUUCUCUUUUGAGGUUGAGCAAAUAGGUUACCAUUUGCGGGUAGCAUGCUGCUUAUUACUGCCUGCUGCUCAGUUAGUUGUCGGUAUUAGCCAUCCUUCAUGGAUUUCAUUACCGUUCUUUGUAUUUAGCUGCAUUGGCCUUGUGGAUUGGUCCUUAACAAGUAACUUUCUUGGCCUUUUCCGAUGGUGGAGGUUACUUGAGAUAUACUCGGUGUUCAGUAUUCUUCUGCUUUAUCUCUACCAGUUACCUAUGAAAUUUCCCUAUAUUGCGUUAGCAUUUGCUGACUUCAUUGGUCUUUUCAAAAUUUCCUCGAAAUCAGAAUGGCCUGAGCUGUCUUCUGGAAUUUCUCUUCUGGUAUAUUAUUUCAUGUUGUCAUCAGCGAAACGAGACAUACAGGAAAUGGGUUCACUUAUAUCUCUAGAAAAUGAUAGCUUAACAGAGGACCUUCUGCCUUCUAGAAAUGCGUUUUUGGUCCGCCAAUCUCGAUCUGGCAGAAGGCAUGGAAACAUAUUACUGAGAGGAUCAGUUUUCCGAACUUUCAGCAUUAAUUUCUUCACUUAUGGAUUCCCGGUCUUGCUGCUUGCCCUUUCCUUCUGGAGUUUCAACUUCACUAGUAUUUGUGCUUUUGGUCUCCUAGCAUACGUUGGGUACAUUUUAUAUGCUUUUCCUUCUUUGUUCCAAAUGCAUCGGCUGAAUUGGUCACUUCUAGUGUUCAUUCUGCUUUGGGCAGCCAGCACAUAUGUCUUCAAUGUGGCAUUCACAUUCUUCAACAAAAGAUUUCAAAAGGAUAUGAUGAUUUGGGAGACUGUUGGGCUUUGGCACUAUUCUAUUCCUGGAUUAUUUUUACUUGCCCAAUUCUGCCUUGGAGUUUUUGUGGCACUGUGUAAUCUUGUUAACAAUUCUGUUUUUCUUUACUUGACUUCUGAAGGGGGUCCUUCAACAAGUGAUGAUCACCUCAUUGAUGAGAAGGAAGAUACAAUGGUUCUGAUUGUAGCAACAAUAGCAUGGGGUCUACGCAAACUUUCACGUGCAAUUACUUUAACAUUACUCUUUCUACUUGUGAUGAAACGAGGAUUUAUUCAUGCUGUUUACAUGUGCUUUUUCUUGGUGUUUCUGGUGAAUCAUUCAAUCGACAAGAGACUGCGCCAGAUCUUAGUAUUGUUUUGUGAGGUUCAUUUUUCGAUACUGUACAUUCUCCAGCUUGAUCUAGUGUCCAGUGCUCUGGAGCGCAGUGGUUCAUUAACAAUGGAGGUACUCUCACAGUUAGGUCUCUCAAAUAAUGCUACAGCAAAGGAUUUCAUGGAGAUAGGCUCAAUAGUUUGCUUCUGUGCUGUGCAUAGCCAUGGUUUUAAGAUGCUUUUUUCAUUAUCGGCGGUUCUUCGGCAUACACCUUGUCCACCUGUUGGAUUCACUAUUCUAAAGGCUGGUUUGAACAAGUCAGUUCUACUGUCAGUUUAUAGCUCGCAAAAUUCACGAGACGGUGAAGACCACCGUAAUUUACAUGAGAAAAAAAUCGCAUCAUAUCUGAGUAAAAUUGGUCAGAAAUUUCUCUUAGUGUACCGCUCAUAUGGAACUUAUGUGGCUUUUCUCACAAUACUUUUGACUCUAUACUUGGUGACCCCUAAUUAUAUAUCAUUUGGUUACCUAUUUUUCCUUCUAUUUUGGAUUAUUGGAAGGCAGCUUGUGGAGAAAACAAAAAGGCGACUGUGGUUUCCUCUAAAAGUAUAUGCUACGGUUGUUUUUAUUUUUACCUACAGCCUGAGUGUUUCACCGAUCUUUGCAGAAUCAGUCUCAAAGUUCCUUAAACUAUACCCUGAUCUGGGAUUUGACCCUGAAGCUUCUUUGCUGGAAAAUGUUUGGCAAUCAUUGGCCAUUCUAGUCGUAAUGCAACUUUACAGUUAUGAACGAAGACAAAACAGUGACAAGAACUUUGGUGUAUCUGAUGCUUCAGAAUCUGGACUUCUGGGGUUCCUAAGAAGGUUUCUAAUUUGGCACAGCGACAAGAUAUUAUCAGUUUGUGUGUUUUAUGCUUGCUUAUCAUCAAUCAGUUUAUCUGGCCUAAUUUACCUGUUAGGGCUUAUUGUGUUUUCUACGUUACCAAAAGUUUCUCGAAUUCCUUCCAAGGUUUACCUUGUCUACACUGGUUUGCUUGCUGCAUCUGAAUAUCUAUUUCAAAUGGUGUGCAAACCUGCACAGAUGUGUCCUCAUCAGCACUUCUAUGGUUUGUCUGUGUUUCUUGGUCUGAAAUACUAUGAUUCUGGGUUUUGGGGUAUCGAAUACAGGCUUAGGGGAAAAGUUUUAGUGAUUGUGGCCUGUACCAUUCAGUAUAAUGUUUUCCAUUGGCUAGAUUUGAUGCCAACAUCUCUAGUACAUAAGGGUAAAUGGGAAGAGCCCUGUCAACUUUUUAUCUCUUCCAACCCACCUUAUAGUCCUGUCAGAAGCAACGAAGAAAGUCAUUCAUCUAAUAGGUUUACUUCAUUGUUUUCUAAAGUUCAAGGUCUUAUAGGUAGUAGUUCAAGUUCAAGCUCAUCAGUGGGUCCAGGCAGCAUUCACCAGAAAUUAGAGUAUGUUGAUAAUGCCAUCGAAGGCUCAGAUGAGGACAAAAGACACUCAUUUGCAAAGAUUUGGGGAUUGUCAAAAGAAAGCCACAAGUGGGACAAGAAAAGGGUUAUUUUUCUGAGAAGAGAAAGAUUCGAAACCCAGAAGACAACAUUCAAAUGUUACAUGAAAUUCUGGAUAGAAAAUCUUUUCAAACUGCGAGGUCUGGAAAUUAACAUGAUUGUGUUACUAUUAGCAAGCUUUACACUGUUGAAUGUUGUAUCGAUCUUCUAUAUCAUGUGCCUUGUCCUUUGCAUUCUUAUGAACAGAGAUCUAAUCCAGAAAUUGUGGCCCCUUUUUGUGUUUCUGUUUGCUUCUGUCUUAAUACUUGAAUAUGUUGCUCUUUGGAAUGAUGAGAUAACCUGGUAUCAUGGUACCAAUGACAUUGAAGUCCAUUGCCGUGAGUGCUGGAAGAAUUCAAGGAUUUUUUUUGACUACUGCUCAAAAUGCUGGCUUGGGAUAAUUGCUGAUGAUCCUCGAAUGCUGAUUAGCUACUAUGUUGUGUUUAUAUUUUCCUCUUUUAAGCUUCGGUCUGAUCACUUUUCGAGCUUCUCAGACUCGGACACAUAUCGGCAGAUGAUGUCCCAAAGGAAAAAUGCAGUAGUAUGGAGGGACCUCUCACUGGAAACAAAAAGCUUUUGGACAUUCCUUGACUAUGUGCGGCUUUAUGCCUAUUGCCAUUUAUUGGACAUAGUUUUGGCACUAAUUGCAAUUACCGGUACUCUAGAGUAUGAUGUUCUGCACCUUGGUUAUCUCGGAUUUGCUCUGGUUUUCUUUAGAAUGAGACUUGAAAUCUUGAAGAAGAAGAAUAGGAUUUUCAAGUUUCUACGGAUGUAUAAUUUUGGUCUCAUUGUUUUGUCACUUGCUUAUCAAUCUCCUUAUGUUGGGCAAUUUAGCUCUGGCAAGUGCGAUCAAAUUGACUACCUAUAUGAGAUAAUUGGAUUAUACAAAUAUGACUAUGGGUUUAAGAUAACAUCACGGUCAGCUUUUGUUGAGAUAGUAAUCUUCCUAUUGGUAUCUGUUCAAUCAUACAUCUUUAGCUCUAGUGAGUUCGAUUAUGUGUCAAGAUAUCUUGAAGCAGAGCAAAUUGGUGCCAUGGUCCGUGAGCAGGAAAAAAAAGCUUUAAAGAAAACUGAGCAGCUGCAUCAUCUUCGCAGGUCUGAGGAGCAUAAACGUCAGCGGAAUAUGCAGGUGGAGAGGAUGAAGUCUGAGAUGUACAAUUUGCAAAGUCAACUUAACAGAAUGAACUCUUUCACACCAAUAAAUGAUACAUCUCACAAUGAAGGCUUGAGGCACAGGAGAAAUGUGAAACAUAAUAGUGAUGCUAAUACCUCGCAUGAAGAUAAUGAUAUUGUCGCACAAACAAAACAAGAUAAGAUUGGAAGCACAGAGUCACCACAGUCGUUUGAUUUUUCUGUAACAGAUACACAGCAUAACAUGGCAGAUUUGAUAUUCCAGGGUUCAUCUGAUACUAUGAGAUCACCGAUCAGGGGAAGAAGUGAAGAACAUGUGCUCACUGAUAACAUUAGAAAAUAUUCCCUUGGUUUGACACCUGAGAUCACUGAGGUUGAGAGUGAUGACAAAGUUAAUUGUAAUUUAUCGAGAGGGGAGAAGGCAAGGGGACAAUAUAAGGAAAACCCACUAAAAUCAGCUGUACAAUUGAUUGGCGAUGGUGUUUCUCAAGUUCAGUCAUUUGGGAACCAGGCAGUCACAAAUAUUGUUAGCUUCUUGAACAUUGAUCCAGAUGAGCCACACUCCAAUGAGCAUCAUGCAGAAAGUGACAUCUAUGAUGUUGUUGAAAGUCAGAGGGAAACACAAGAUGGGCAGCUUCCAAGAACACAUUCAGUUCCAGAUACCACAGGGACUAAAGCGAAAUCAAGCAUGCCAAUUGGUGUGAUUUUUCAGUAUAUAUGGUAUCAGAUGCGAAGUAAUUAUGAUUAUGUUUGCUAUUGCUGUUUUAUUCUGGUUUUCAUGUGGAAUUUUAGUUUGUUAUCCAUGGCCUACCUUGGGGCACUUUUCUUAUAUGCUCUUUGUGUGAACUAUGGCCCAAGUUACUUGUUUUGGGUCAUCAUUCUGAUCUACACCGAGGUCAACAUUCUGUCACAGUAUAUAUAUCAGAUUAUCAUUCAACACUGUGGUUUGAAUAUACAUUUACCUCUUCUUCAGAGAUUAGGUUUCCCUGACAAUAAAAUAAAAGCAUCAUUUGUCGUCAGCAUAUUGCCUCUCUUUUUAGUCUAUAUAUCCACUCUCUUGCAGAGCUCGAUCACUGCCAAAGAUGGUGAAUGGGUUCCGGUAACAGAAUUCAGCUUUCUUAGUGCAAGGAACAACAUUGAAGAGAAACACUGUGUAGCUUACAGUUGGAGAGAGAAGCUAAAAAGUUUGCCCUUGCCUGUUUUUGAUCUCAUAAGGAUGAUUGUUAGAGGCUUAUCUAGAUACUGGAUGUCAUUAACACAUGGAGCUGAAUCUCCUCCAUAUUUUGUGCAAGUUACAAUGGAGGUAAGCCAUUGGCCAGAAGAUGGAAUCCAGCCAGAGAGGAUAGAGUCUGCCAUAAAUAGGGUGCUUGCUAUUGCUCAUGAAGAAAGAUGUCAGGCAAACUUGCCUUCCUCUUGCCACUGUUGUAGUAAAGUCCGGAUUCAAAGUAUUGAAAAAAGCAAAGAAAAUUGUAAUAUGGCUCUUGCUGUACUAGAAGUUGUUUAUGCUGCUCCUGUAGAGUGCCAAUCUAAGGGAUGGCACAAAUCUCUCACUCCAGCAGCUGAUGUAGAAAGAGAGAUUCAUGAAUCACAGAAAGCAGGAUUUUUUGAAGAAAUAAAUUUUCCUUACCCGAUCGUCUCGGUGAUUGGUGGGGGUAAAAGAGAGAUCGAUCUUUAUGCAUAUUAUUUUGGCGCCGACUUGGCAGUUUUCUUCCUUGUUGCAAUGUUCUAUCAAUCUAUCCUAAAAAAUAAGAGUGAAUUCUUGGAAGUUUACCAGCUGGAGGAUCAGUUCCCAAAAGAAUUUGUUUUCAUCCUUAUGGUUCUCUUUUUCUUGAUAGUGGUUGACCGCAUUAUAUAUCUUUGGUCCUUUGCUACCGGCAAAGUUGUUUUCUAUCUUUUUAACCUUGUGCUUUUCACGUAUUCUGUCACUGAAUAUGCUUGGGGAACGGAGCUAGCUCACAGGGAUAUUGGAGGACUUGUACUACGUGCAAUCUACCUUACAAAAUCAAUUUCCCUAGCACUGCAAGCUUUACAGAUCAGAUAUGGUAUUCCUAACAAAAGCAACCUAUAUAGGCAGUUCUUGACUAGCAAAGUUACUCAAGUGAAUUACUUGGGCUUCCGUCUGUAUCGUGCUUUACCAUUCUUGUAUGAAUUGCGGUGUGUACUUGAUUGGUCUUGCACAACCACAUCUUUAACAAUGUAUGAUUGGCUGAAGGAUGUCAAUAGAGCAAAAGGGUGUUUCUUCUUUCAGGCUUUCUGGGUCAAGUUGGAAGGUUUUCAUGAUACUGUGGCUCAGGCUUGGAGUUUGGUGGCGCCAGGCCCCUGUCCUUUUGUCACUCUCUCCAGGAAGUUGCAAGUUGGAGGACAUAUAUGCAAGCUUGUUUCUUGUGAAAUGUGAUACACUUUUGAACAGAGCUAAUCAUCGUCAGGGAGAAAAACAAACAAAAACGACGAAAUUCUGCAGUGGGAUAUGCUUAUUCUUUGUACUUAUUUGUGUUAUUUGGGCUCCUAUGUUGAUUUAUAGUAGUGGUAACCCUACAAAUAUUGCCAAUCCCAUUGUUGAUGUAAGUGUUAAGAUUGAUAUAAAGGCACUUGGUGGGAGAUUAAACUUGUUUAAGACUACUGCUUGUGAAAAAAUACCUUGGAAGUACUUGAAGGCCUAUGAUGAUGUUGAUCCUCUAGAUUACCUUGGGGCAUACAAUGUGGAUGACAUUCAGCUGAUUUGCUGCCAGCCUGAUGCAUCAACAAUGUGGUUGAUACCUCCUCCAGUCCAAAACAGAUUCAUCCAGUCCCUUGAGGAGAGAGAGAUGCUUUUUGGAAAGAUGGAACUUAUUUUAAAUUGGGAUUUUCUCAGAGCUAGACCAAAAGGGAAGGAAUUAGUGCGAUAUGAAUCCCCUAUUGAACACUGCCCGAGUGUAGAUGAUGUUAAACGAGUGCUUAAUGGAACUGCAAACAGCUUCAGUAUAAUUGAUGCUUACCCAAGGUACUUUCGAGUUACUGGAUCAGGUGAAGUCCGGCGAUUAGAAGCAGCGAUAGAUUCAGUAAGUGGCGAAUUGCUAUUAAAUAAUGGCACUCCUUGGUGGUCAUUCUAUGAUACAAACCCAUCAGAUUUGGCAGGCUGUCAAGGGCUGAAUGGUCCCAUGGCUAUAGUUGUUUCUGAGGAGACACCUCAGGGCAUUAUUGGCGAAACACUCAGUAAAUUUAGCAUAUGGAGUUUAUAUAUUACUUUUGUUCUAGCUGUUGCGAGAUUUAUUAGGCUUCAGUGCUCAGACUUGAGAAUGAGAAUACCAUAUGAGAACCUUCCGUCAUGUGACAGGAAUGUUGGAGGAUUUCUGAUAUGAGGUCUAACCUCGUGGAUAAAGAUAUCAUUUGAUUCUCCGAAUUGGUCAUUUGGUUUCUCAAUCCUCCAUUUCCCACUUGCAUUCUGGCAAAAUCAUGAGUAAAACUUCUCGUUGUUGCCACUACUGUUGGGCACUACUCAUCAGUGUUCUAAUAAAGUGGUUGUGCUUGAGGCAAUCUUUUGGAGGGAUCAAUGGAGCAUGAUGGGAAAAAAUUCUAUGCAUCCCGGAUGCAAACGCACUCGUUUGUAGCCCCUCAUAUCCACCACCUGGAGGCCUACAAAAAUAGAUCGAAAUUUACAACUUAACCCCUUGGCUACUUGACAUCUGUGAAGGAAUAUAUGCAGCAAGAGCUGAAGGAGAGUUAGAAGUGGAAGAAGUUCUGUAUUGGACAUUGGUAAACAUCUAUAGAUCACCACAUAUGCUGCUUGAAUACACAAAGCCUGACUAGGGCACCCGUUCUGCUAAGGAAGCCAUUCUGCAAAAAAAUUCCAUGUAAUGUAGUAAUGUACAAGUAGAACACUUCUUUCCUUUGAGGUCACAACGAAGCUAACUUAAUCCUCUCCCCCCCUUGUGUCAGGACAAAAAACGUGCAAAUAGGCUUUGUAGUUGUAGUUCGUUUUUGCUAACAUGUAUACGGUUGACCAUUAUUUUUGGAGAAGUAUACAUCAAAGUUUCAUUGUGAAAGUUA